CGCUGGCGGCGUGCCUAACACAUGCAAGUCGAACGAGAAAGUGGAGCAAUCCAUGAGUAAAGUGGCGACCGGGUGAGUAACACGUGACUAACCUACCUCCGAGUGGGGAAUAACUCCGGGAAACCGGGGCUAAUACCGCAUAACAUCGCAAGAUCAAAGCAGCAAUGCGCUUGGAGAGGGGGUCGCGGCUGAUUAGCUCGUUGGCGGGGUAACGGCCCACCAAGGCGAAGAUCGGUAUCCGGCCUGAGAGGGCGCACGGACACACUGGAACUGAAACACGGUCCAGACUCCUACGGGAGGCAGCAGUGGGGAAUUUUGCGCAAUGGGGGAAACCCUGACGCAGCAACGCCGCGUGGAGGAUGAAGCCCUUUGGGGCGUAAACUCCUUUCGACUCGGACGAUAAUGACGGUACGAGUGGAAGAAGCACCGGCUAACUCUGUGCCAGCAGCCGCGGUAAUACAGAGGGUGCGAGCGUUGUUCGGAAUUAUUGGGCGUAAAGGGCGCGUANGCGGUGCGGUAAGUCACCUGUGAAAUCUCCCGGCUUAACUGGGAGUCUGCAGGCGAAACUACCGUGCUGGAGUGUGGGAGAGGUGCGUGGAAUUCCCGGUGUA
rnacentral:rRNA from 1 species